rnacentral:rRNA from 1 species
GAUGAACGCUGGCGGCGUGCCUAAUACAUGCAAGUCGAGCGAACGGAUGAGAAGCUUGCUUCUCUGAUGUUAGCGGCGGACGGGUGAGUAACACGUGGAUAACCUACCUAUAAGACUGGGAUAACUUCGGGAAACCGGAGCUAAUACCGGAUAAUAUUUUGAACCGCAUGGUUCAAAAGUGAAAGACGGUCUUGCUGUCACUUAUAGAUGGAUCCGCGCUGCAUUAGCUAGUUGGUAAGGUAACGGCUUACCAAGGCAACGAUGCAUAGCCGACCUGAGAGGGUGAUCGGCCACACUGGAACUGAGACACGGUCCAGACUCCUACGGGAGGCAGCAGUAGGGAAUCUUCCGCAAUGGGCGAAAGCCUGACGGAGCAACGCCGCGUGAGUGAUGAAGGUCUUCGGAUCGUAAAACUCUGUUAUUAGGGAAGAACAUUUGUGUAAGUAACUGUGCACAUCUUGACGGUACCUAAUCAGAAAGCCACGGCUAACUACGUG